CAAAUCAUUAAUGGAAAGGGAAUGGUGAACACUUAGUGUGGGUUACAGCUCACUAGACGGCAGGCGGACACUGAAACAGGAGGCGACUUGAAGAGGGGCACCAGACGGGGACUCCGCACACUGAACGAAACCACAAGUGGAAUAUAGAUAAAGUGACUGUGCAACAGAAAACCUGAAUGGAAGGAGAAGACGUCCGGGAAAUCAAUGGUAUCUGAGAUAGGAGAAAUAUUAACCCAUUGCCCCCCCCCCUCCCCCAUUAGAAACACAGUAAAACUUUAGCACCUGAAACGUAGAAGGAAACUUGGAGUCUCCUUUAUCAGAUACAGAGUUAUUUGUAUGGCGUUUAUCACCUCGGAAAUAUUCACAAAAUAAAUAUUUUUUUAAACCAA